AACACUUGGAAACAGGUGCUAAUACCGCAUAACAGUUUAUGCCGCAUGGCAUAAGAGUGAAAGGCGCUUUCGGGUGUCGCUGAUGGAUGGACCCGCGGUGCAUUAGCUAGUUGGUGAGGUAACGGCUCACCAAGGCCACGAUGCAUAGCCGACCUGAGAGGGUGAUCGGCCACACUGGGACUGAGACACGGCCCAGACUCCUACGGGAGGCAGCAGUAGGGAAUCUUCGGCAAUGGACGAAAGUCUGACCGAGCAACGCCGCGUGAGUGAAGAAGGUUUUUCGGAUCGUAAAACUCUGUUGUUAGAGAAGAACAAGGACGUUUAAGUAACUGAACGUCCCCUGACGGUAUCUAACCAGAAAGCCACG
rnacentral:rRNA from 1 species